rnacentral:rRNA from 1 species
AGUGAACGCUGGCGGUAGGCCUAACACAUGCAAGUCGAACGGCAGCACAGUAAGAGCUUGCUCUUACGGGUGGCGAGUGGCGGACGGGUGAGGAAUACAUCGGAAUCUACUUUUUCGUGGGGGAUAACGUAGGGAAACUUACGCUAAUACCGCAUACGACCUACGGGUGAAAGCAGGGGAUCUUCGUACCUUGCGCGAUUGAAUGAGCCGAUGUCGGAUUAGCUAGUUGGCGGGGUAAAGGCCCACCAAGGCGACGAUCCGUAGCUGGUCUGAGAGGAUGAUCAGCCACACUGGAACUGAGACACGGUCCAGACUCCUACGGGAGGCAGCAGUGGGGAAUAUUGGACAGUGGGCGAAAGCCUGAUCCAGCAAUACCGCGUGGGUGAAGAAGGCCUUCGGGUUGUAAAGCCCUUUUGUUGGGAAAGAAAAGCAGCAGGUUAAUACCCCGCUGUUCUGACGGUACCCAAAGAAUAAGCAACGGCUAACUUCGUG